GGGGCCCUUAUCACAUGGCGGUUCGGGGCGGUUGAAAGAGAGCUUGCUCUUUGAUUCAGCGGCGGACGGGUGACCCAAUGCAAAAAAAGACUGCGUGGGGUGGGGGAUAACGGUUCGAACUGUGCGUUAAGACCGCGGACGUCCUGCGGGAGAAAGCAGGGGACCUUCGGGCCUUGCGCUAUCAGAUGAGCCUAGGUCGGAUUACCUAGUUGGUGAGGUAAUGGCUCUCCAAGGCGACGAUCCGUAACUGGGCUGAGAGGAUGAUCAGUCAGCUGGAACUGAGACACGGUCCAGACUCCUACGGGAGGCAGCAGUGGGGAAUAUUGGACAAUGGGCGAAAGCCUGAUCCAGCCAUGCCGCGUGUGUGAAGAAGGUCUUCGGAUUGUAAAGCACUUUAAGUUGGGAGGAAGGGCAUUAACCUAAUACGUUAGUGUUUUGACGUUACCGACAGAAUAUUUUUCCGUUUAACUUCGUGCCAGCAGCCGCGGUA
rnacentral:rRNA from 1 species